rnacentral:rRNA from 1 species
CGGACGGGGGAGUAAUAUCUGGGAAACUGCCCGAUGGAGGGGGAUAACUACUGGAAACGGUAGCUAAUACCGCAUAACGUCGCAAGACCAAAGAGGGGGACCUUCGGGCCUCUUGCCAUCGGAUGUGCCCAGAUGGGAUUAGCUAGUAGGUGGGGUAACGGCUCACCUAGGCGACGAUCCCUAGCUGGUCUGAGAGGAUGACCAGCCACACUGGAACUGAGACACGGUCCAG